CCUACGGGAGGCUGCAGUGGGGAAUAUUGGACAAUGGGCGAAAGCCUGAUCCAGCCAUGCCGCGUGUGUGAAGAAGGCCUUCGGGUUGUAAAGCACUUUCAGUGGGGAAGAAAGCCUUGGGGCUAAUACCCUCGAGGAAGGACAUCACCCACAGAAGAAGCACCGGCUAACUCCGUGCCAGCAGCCGCGGUAAUACGGAGGGUGCGAGCGUUAAUCGGAAUUACUGGGCGUAAAGCGCGCGUAGGCGGUCUGAUAAGCCGGUUGUGAAAGCCCCGGGCUCAACCUGGGAACGGCAUCCGGAACUGUCAGGCUAGAGUGCAGGAGAGGAAGGUAGAAUUCCCGGUGUAGCGGUGAAAUGCGUAGAGAUCGGGAGGAAUACCAGUGGCGAAGGCGGCCUUCUGGACUGACACUGACGCUGAGGUGCGAAAGCGUGGUAGCAAACAGGAUUAGAUACCCUUGUAGUC
rnacentral:rRNA from 1 species